CUGCACUCACUUUUGUUCUGGCACUCUCUUCCUCUCAGUACUCUAUCCUUCCUUUCCUCCCCUCUCUCUCGCUCUCUCUCUCUCUCUCUCUCUCUCUCUCUCUCUCUCUCCUCCUGCUCUCUCAUCUCUUUCUCUACUCUUCCCCUCUCUCUCUUUCUCCUCUCUCUCCUCUCCUACUCUCUCUCUCUCUCUUUCUCUCUCUCUCCUCUCCUCCUCCCUCUCUCUCUCCUCUCUCUCUAUCCUCUCUCUCUCCUCCUCUUCUCUCUCUCUCUUUCUCUCUCUCUCUGUUUCCUUCUCUCUGUCUCUCUCUCCUCUCUAACUCUCCUCUCUCUCUCUCUCUCUCUCUCCACUAUCUCUCUCUUCUCUCUCCAUCUCUCUCUCUUCUCCCUCUUCUCCUCCUCUCUCUCUCCCUCCACUAUCUCUCUCUUCUCUCUCCAUCUCUCUCUCUGCUCUCUCUUCUCCUCCUCUCUCUCUCUCCCUCCACUAUCUCUCUCUUCUCUCUCCAUCUCUCUCUCUGCUCUCUCUUCUCCUCCUCUCUCUCUCUCCCUCCACUAUCUCUCUCUUCUCCUCCUCUCUCUCUCUCCCUCCACUAUCUCUCUCUCUCCUCUCUCUGUUUCCUUCUCUCUCUCUCUCCUCUCUCUUCUCUCUCCUCUCUCACUCUCCUCUCUUUCUCUACUCUUCUCCUCCUCUCUCUCUCUCCCUCCACUAUCUCUCUCUUCUCUCUCCAUCUCUCUCUCUUCUCUCUCUUCUCCUCCUCUCUCUCUCCCUCCACUAUCUCUCUCUUCUCUCUCCAUCUCUCUCUGCUCUCUCUUCUCCUCCUCUCUCUCUCUCCCUCCACUAUCUCUCUCUUCUCUCUCCAUCUCUCUCUCUGCUCUCUCUUCUCCUCCUCUCUCUCUCUCCCUCCACUAUCUCUCUCUUCUCCUCCUCUCUCUCGCUCCCUCCACUAUCUCUCUCUUCUCCUCCUCUCUCUCUCUCCCUCCACUAUCUCUCUCUUCUCUCUCCAUCUCUCUCUCUGCUCUCUCUUCUCCUCCUCUCUCUCUCUCCCUCCACUAUCUCUAUCUUCUCUCUCCAUCUCUCUCUCUGCUCUCUCUUCUCCUCCUCUCUCUCUCUCCCUCCACUAUCUCUCUCUUCUCCUCCUCUCUCUCUCUCCCUCCACUAUCUCUCUCUUCUCCUCCUCUCUCUCUCCCUCCACUAUCUCUCUCUUCUCCUCCUCUCUCUCUCUCCCUCCACUAUCUCUCUCUUCUCUCUCCAUCUCUCUCUCUGCUCUCUCUUCUCCUCCUCUCUCUCUCUCCCUCCACUAUCUCUCUCUUCUCUCUCUCUGCUCUCUCUUCUCCUCCUCUCUCUCUCUCCCUCCACUAUCUCUCUCUUCUCUCUCCAUCUCUCUCUCUCCCUCCACUAUCUCUCUCUUCUCCUCCUCUCUCUCUCUCCCUCCACUAUCUCUCUCUUCUCUCUCCAUCUCUCUCUCUCCCUCCACUAUCUCUCUCUUCUCCUCCUCUCUCUCUCUCCCUCCACUAUCUCUCUCUUCUCUCUCCAUCUCUCUCUCUGCUCUGUCCUUCCUGCAGCACUAGACCUUUUGUUCAUAGCCCCUCUGCCUCAAUACAGCCUGUCUACCCAGCUAUCUCCAUCACACACACACACACACACACACACACACACACACACACACACACACACACACACACACACACACACACACACACACACACACACACACACACACACACACAUCCUCAAAGAAAACCGAAAACACAGUCUGCACGACACUCCAGGCCAUCAACAUCAUCACAGUUCUAUAUUCAGUCUGGAGAACAGAGGGAGGGGAGAGGAAGAGCAGAGGAGGGAGGACGAUUGGAGGGAUUGGGGGGGAACAGCUAA
rnacentral:lncRNA from 1 species